rnacentral:rRNA from 1 species
CCCCAGCGCCACAAGUGGUUAUCACGAUUAUUGGGCCUAAAGCGUUCGUAGCCGGUUUGGUAAAUCUCUUGUGAAAUUGUUCGGCUUAACCGGACAGCGUGCAGGAGAGACUGCCAGACUCGAGACCGGGAGGCGUAUGAAGUAUUCCAUGGGGACUGGUAAAAUGGGAUAAUCCAUGGAAGACUACCGAUGGCAAAGGCAUCAUACGAGAACGGAUCUGACGGUGAGGAACGAAAGCCAGGGGAGCGAACCGG